CGGGUGAGUAACACGUGGGUAACCUGCCCAUCAGAGGGGGAUAACAUUCGGAAACGGAUGCUAAAACCGCAUAGGUCUUCGAACCGCAUGGUUUGAAGAGGAAAAGAGGCUUCGGCUUCUGCUGAUGGAUGGACCCGCGAUGCAUUAGCUAGUUGGUGAGGUAACGGCCCACCAAGGCCGUGAUGCAUAGCCGACCUGAGAGGGUGAUCGGCCACAUUGGGACUGAGACACGGCCCAAACUCCUACGGGAGGCAGCAGUAGGGAAUCUUCCGCAAUGGACGCAAGUCUGACGGAGCAACGCCGCGUGAGUGAAGAAGGAUUUCGGUUCGUAAAACUCUGUUGUUAGAGAAGAACAGCGCAUAGAGUAACUGUUAUGCGUGUGACGGUAUCUAACCAGAAAGCCACGGCUAACUACGUGCCAGCAGCCGCGGUAAUACGUAGGUGGCAAGCGUUGUCCGGAUUUAUUGGGCGUAAAGCGAGCGCAGGCGGUCAAUUAAGUCUGAUGUGAAAGCCCCCGGCUCAACCGGGGAGGGUCAUUGGAAACUGGUUGACUUGAGUGCAGAAGAGGAGAGUGGAAUUCCAUGUGUAGCGGUGAAAUGCGUAGAUAUAUGGAGGAACACCAGUGGCGAAGGCGACUCUCUGGUCUGUAACUGACGCUGAGGCUCGAUAGCGUGGGUAGCAAACAGGAUUAGAUACCCUGGUAGUCCACGCCGUAAACGAUGAGUGCUAAGUGUUGGAGGGUUUCCGCCCU
rnacentral:rRNA from 1 species